rnacentral:rRNA from 1 species
GAGGAAAAGAAACUAACAAGGAUUCCCCUAGUAGCGGCGAGCGAAGCGGGAAGAGCUCAAAUUUGUAAUCUGGCACCUUCGGUGUCCGAGUUGUAAUCUCGAGAAGUGUUUUCCGCGCCAGACCGCAUACAAGUCUGUUGGAAUACAGCGUCAUAGUGGUGAGAACCCCGUAUAUGAUGCGGAUGCCUGGUGCUCUGUGAUACACUUUCGAAGAGUCGAGUUGUUUGGGAAUGCAGCUCAAAUUGGGUGGUAAAUUCCAUCUAAAGCUAAAUAUUGGCGAGAGACCGAUAGCGAACAAGUACCGUGAGGGAAAGAUGAAAAGCACUUUGGAAAGAGAGUUAACAGUACGUGAAAUUGUUGGAAGGGAAACGCUUGAAGUCAGACUUGCUAUUUGGAAUUCAGCCGCAAGGUGUAUUUUUCAAUUUGCAGGCCAGCAUCAGUUUUUGGGGGUGGAAAAGGAUUAGGAGAAGGUAGCAGUUUCGGCUGUGUUAUAGCUCUUAAUUGGAUUCAUCCCUGGGGACUGAGGAACGCAGCUUCGGCUUAGGAUGCUGGUGGAAUGGCUUUAAACGA